rnacentral:rRNA from 1 species
GUAGGGUGCAAGCGUUAAUCGGGAAUUACUGGGGCGUAAAGCGUGCGCAGGCGGUUUUGUAAGUCUGAUGUGAAAUCCCCCGGGGGCUCAACCUGGGGAAUUGCAUUGGAGACUGCAAGGCUAGAAUCUGGCAGAGGGGGUAGAAUUCCACGUGUAGCAGUGAAAUGCGUAGAUAUGUGGAGGAACACCGAUGGCGAAGGCAGCCCCCUGGGUCAAGAUUGACGCUCAUGCACGAAAGCGUGGGGAGCAAACAGGAUUAGAUACCCUGGUAGUCCACGCCCUAAACGAUGUCUACUAGUUGUCGGGUCUUAAUUGACUUGGUAACGCAGCUAACGCGUGAAGUAGACCGCCUGGGGAGUACGGUCGCAAGAUUA